UAUAUAUAUAUUAGAUAAUUGUUUAAUAAAGAUGUAUUGUCUUAUAUUACUUUUGUUGUGCAUAAGAAUUAGAAACUGACAUUGCCUGUUUAGUGGUUUAAAUAAUGUAAUACCGGCUUCACACAUCAACGUAUAGAUCCGACGUACGUCGGCCGAGGUAAAAAAAAUCAUGCACGCUACCAAAACGCUAGUAAUUUUGAUGCAUUCAACCUGUCAAUCAUAUCUGUAUCGUGUGCACAACGAGCUUAAAGCGUGUAUUGGGUGUGCGUAAAGCGUACCUUAGCGUUUCUCCUGGUCUUCCUACAUUCCCAACUGCAGGUCUGUCUAUAUGUGAAUGUUUGUCAAUAAGUCUGUCACAUUCGCCCGUCUGUUUACAUGUUUACCAGUCCGUCUAUGUCCACUGGUUCGUCUACAUGUUCACUAGCUUUGAAAUAGCUUUCGGUAAGUGCGAUUAUUUCAGUGAUUUGUGUCUAUUGUUUUUAUGUAAGUGAUUAUUGUGCACCGUACCCAUAAUUUUAGGGACGCGAAUUGCAACUGAUAUUUUACAGUUUUUUCUUGCGAUGUGUUGUCCUUAAGGUUUGGUUCAUUUGGGAGGGUUGGGUUUAUGGCCACCACAUUGUUUAUGUGCCAAUGUCCAUUCUAAAGCCAGAAACAUGUAGUACAGUGGUUGUUGUUCAUAAUUCAUGUCGGUCAAGUUGUUUUCGUAAAUUAUUUUGUUAUCAAUAAGGCUGUUUAGUUUUGUUUGAUUUUUGUUUUUAAAUCUUAAUGGUCGGGGCAUUUAAUAGCCGACUAAAUAGUAGUUUUUUUUUUUCAUUUUUGGAGGCCGCUCGGUGGCCUUUAAAGACUUACUACCACGUCAUUGUAACUCUGGUUGGUAUUUGUAUCAUUAGUGCUGGACCAUGGUCGAUCCUAUAUGCACCUUUGAGGCAGGCGGGAUAUUUUUGUAGAUCUUGUACAGCUCAAACUAAUGUGAGUAGUUCCUGUACUUCUAUGUCUAGUCCCAUGUUGCAUGGUUAGAGAGGGUGUAAUAUCUUCUGUAGGUUUGAUGAAGUUUCACCCGUAUCGGACUUCUUUUCCUAAAUGAAAGCUUUAAGGCGACGAGUAUUUUUGUAUGCAAUGUGCCCUUAACGUGUCUAAAACUUAUCUGUAGCGUUUUCAACGCUCGUGUAGCGUGUAUAUUAUGUGCGUGCAGUUUACAGG
rnacentral:lncRNA from 1 species